rnacentral:rRNA from 1 species
AGGAUGAACGCUGGCGGCGUGCCUAACACAUGCAAGUCGAACGGAAACUAAGCGCUUCGGAGACUUCGGUCAAUGUUUGCUUGGUUUAGUGGCGGACGGGUGAGUAACGCGUGGAUAACCUGCCUCAUACAGGGGGAUAACAGUUAGAAAUGACUGCUAAUACCGCAUAAGCGCACAGUUUCGCAUGGAACAGUGUGAAAAACUCCGGUGGUAUGAGAUGGAUCCGCGUCUGAUUAGCUAGUUGGCGGGGUAACAGCCCACCAAGGCGACGAUCAGUAGCCGGCCUGAGAGGGUGAACGGCCACAUUGGGACUGAGACACGGCCCAAACUCCUACGGGAGGCAGCAGUGGGGGAUAUUGCACAAUGGGGGAAACCCUGAUGCAGCGACGCCCGCGUGAGUGAAGAAGUAUUUCGGUAUGUAAAGCUCUAUCAGCAGGGAAGAUAAUGACGGUACCUGACUAAGAAGCACCGGCUAAAUAUGUGCCAGCAGCCGC